rnacentral:piRNA from 1 species
UGGACCAGUUCAGCCUCGAAUGAUGCCA